rnacentral:rRNA from 1 species
AAUCUCAGAUCAGGCGAGGUCACCCGCUGAAUUU